rnacentral:rRNA from 1 species
UACGUAGGGUGCGAGCGUUGUCCGGAAUUAUUGGGCGUAAAGAGCUCGUAGGCGGUCUGUCGCGUCGAUCGUGAAAACUUGGGGCUUAACCCUGAGCUUGCGGUCGAUACGGGCAUGACUGGAGUUCGGCAGGGGAGACUGGAAUUCCUGGUGUAGCGGUGAAAUGCGCAGAUAUCAGGAGGAACACCGGUGGCGAAGGCGGGUCUCUGGGCCGAAACUGACGCUGAGGAGCGAAAGCGUGGGAGCAAACAGG